GAGAAAGUAGAGCCAGCAAGGAUGAAUCCAAAGCAAAAGCAACUCCAUGAUGCCCAGAAAGUGAAAGGGGCUCAACAAACCUGCCUUGUGUGGAUGAACUGGAGCAGGAACCUCUGUUUCCAGAUGAGAGAGUUUAUUUUGAGAAAGUCUGGGCCAUUCAACUGCCAGCAGACCGGCAACCUACUCAGAAUCCCAGUUAGCCAAAAGAGAGCUGUUUCUGAGAAUUCCUUUCUCUCUCAGAAGACAAGAAGCACUACCAUCCUGGAUGAUCCUUCUCAUAUUACCAGCAUCCCACUUGUUCUCUAGAGGCACAGGCAGGCCUGCUUCUUUGCUCCCUGACUUGGGGUUAAAGGGUCUGUCAUUCCAAAAAACACAGAAGUUACAAGGUGUGUGGAUUUAUACCUCAUGCCUUCAGCCUGGAGGUCAGAGGACUCCAAGUACUGUACUGAGAGAUUAAACAGAUAUUCUCUUCAAGAUAACCAUGGGUAGCAUUUGCUCUAAAGAGAAAUGAUGCUGGCUUACAAGUUUUGUGGAAGCACUGGAGGAGUAUGAAACAUUUGGGUGACUGAAGCAGAAAGAGUUAUAGUUAUGGAUCGAACCAUCCUUCCUAAUUGCAGAACAGUUUCCUCCUGGGCAGGAGACUCAGGUAAAUCCAUUAUAAGAAGGUAGGGUGCAUCCUAGGGACGUUUUACAAGUUUAAUUACCAGCAAGUUUAAUAGAGAGCUCUCACCCAGUGCCCUGACAAGUGAUAAAGUAACUGGUCCAGUAUCAGUCACAUUCUAUUUUCUGUAGGAUUGGGCAGUUUGAUUGCCAACAAGUGAGAACCGCCAAGAAACUGGCUCCUUUCCCUGGCUGAGGGAUCUAAGGCAGGGUAAACAUUUGCACAACUACAAAAGCACAGCCCUGAAAUUUUUUUGUGGAAAGUUAUUCUGGAGAGUGGACAGGAGUAUGUUCUUUGGCAUAAGUAACGUUUUGCUGGAAGCAUUGUUUAUCCUGCACGGGUCCCAUGCAGCCUUGGUAGGACUGGGAGUAAGGAACAGAAUGCUAAAAUCUGUGUAGCUGAGGUUUAACUAGAGGUGUCAUGGAGUACAACUCUGAUAUCUCCGGGCUCAAAAAACUAAACUGAGAUCAUUCUCAUUUAUGUCCAGUCUGGGUCCCAAAAAUCUCCCUAGCAGGUUGGAUGGGAUGAGAACCAGGAGAAGCCAGAAUAUUCGUUCCAUAUCAAUAUGUCCCUUAACUCUUAGACAGCUCCAGGCGAAUACAGGGGGUUGGGAUGGACCAUUUUUAUUGGUCCAAAGUCCACAUUAACUAAUGCUUAUUGGAUGGUGAAUUAUAACAGAAACUGUUAAUGUGUGGGAGAGCCACAUGAAUAUCAAACAAAUUCAUUAUGAUUGGUGCUAUUACAGUGAAUACCAAAUGAGUUCAUAAUGAUGGAACAAUGAAAGUGUUACCGAUAGAUUUUAUUUCUGUAACAAAUCCUCCAUGUAAAAGCCCCUCCUGUAGUGUUAAUUCUAAUAUAAGUUUGCAUUUGAAUAUUAGCCUCAUCAAGUAAAUUAUGUCUUUCAAUAGCGCACAUCACAAUGCCCAGGGUUGUGUUUUGUGUUGUUUGGCUCUCUGGACACUAGAAUAAGCCCCCUCACCCCACAGUUUCCAAUCUGCCCAUGGAGUUUGAUGACUAUUCCGAAGGGGUCGGUCACAUUUUCCUUUGAGUGGCCAAUCAUUAGAAAUCCAUUUAGUAUUCAAUGUAAUAGCACUAAUGCAAUAGGACAGGAUGAGUAUGAAAUUCAUCUUGCAUUCAUGUGGCUGUGGUAUGUACUUCUGAAAGAGUUCCGCUCUAUUUCAGCAUGAGUGUAGACCCAGUUAAUGGAUCCUUUAAAAAUAAAACACAACUACAAAUGAAAGUUCAAUUUCUCUGGAUGGGCAUUUGGAGUUUUGUGGAGUUGUAGUUAGAAUGGCAAGCAUUUUCCCCAUCAGUUUACAGUACAUAGAGUGUGCGUAACAGUGCUUCUCUGGGCCAAGGCAUGGAAGGUGCAGUUGAUCUGAAAUAUAUUGAUAACAUGAAGGCAAGCGGAAGCUAUGGAGGGUCUCUGUUGCUAACGAUGUUCUAAAUGGCCCAAGAAGUUUAAAAUUUCAAAGUAACAAAGGGAGGUUGUAUUCCUAGACCAAUUUUCAGUUGAGCAAAUAGCGGUACAGAGACACUGAGUAACUUAUUCAAUGUUUCGCAAGUAGCAUAAGGAAGUAGCACAUGGAAGAAUCUAGAGACAAGGCUGUGGCUAUCUCUGCUCUCUAGAGCUGCUGCUGAAACCAUAGCUUUCCUUCCAGAGCUCAGCCAAGUUCAGACUCUCAAUAAACAUUUAAAUGAUUGCAUCGUUAUGGCCAAAGGUACGGGGAAACUGCAGGGUUAUUAAGUAGUAUCUCCAGCUCAGGCAAUGGCUUUUCGUGUGUAUCUUUAUUUGGUGUUUCCAGGGACCGAACGUCGGAAGCUGGAGAAGAACAAGUCUAGUAUUUCUUUGCACUCUUCUGUAUCCUAUUCCACUAUGUGAAUCACUCACCCUUGAAGAAAGUAAAAGAAGAAUUUCCAAUAAGACACUGCAGAAUCCUGCCCUGCCCUUUGCAUCAGAAUGAGCAGCCCAGAAAAUAACCCCACCCAUUUCCUGUUGUCUGUAGUCUCUGUGAGAUGCACCCAAACCCUUUAGGAAGGACUGAGCAACUUCUCAGCAAAGUCCUCCUUAAAACGCACUGAGGUCCUGUUGAAUAAAAAUAUGUGUGUGCCUGGUCACACCCUCCUUGAGUUCUGAAUGGAGCACAAUAUACAGACGCACGGGCACAUGCACACACACACAUGUACACACAGGCACACACACACACACACACACACACACAAGGGCAUGCACACACACACACACACACCAUCUUAAACAGAAAUUCAAACUGGCUGAUUCCCAGGCUUACAGUUAGUUCCCUAUCAAGAAUUAAUGCAAUAUCAUGCACACACCAUUACUGAAAAAUUCUACGCUGUUUUUUGCCAAGUGUUCCUAUAUAACAGUUUUAUCACAAGUCUGACAGCCUCCAUAAAAAUUCCAGGCAUUCUAUAUCAACAGCCCUCUUUGUACUAAGUUAUUAAACAUUAAAUUUUUAUUCGUCA